rnacentral:lncRNA from 1 species
UUUUUUUUUUUUCUUCUCUUGCUAAUGAUGUUGCCUUUGUGUAAAUCUGCAGUGCUGUGCCAAUGGCCGUGAUACCAAACCCUGGAGUGCAAUGGUUUGAGGUGCACCCAUCAGUCUUAGGUCCUGCUCAUCUUCCCAUAGGUGCAAUUGCUUCCCACUCCAGUUUCUCUUUGUCCUUCUUUAAUUUAUCCCUAUUUUCUCCGAUUGCAUUACAUGGAACGCCUUUAGUUUAAUUUUGGGAAACGUUCACCAGUUGAGGUGGUAAAAAGGUGGGUCGUGCGCCUACCUCCAUAGCAAGGCUGAAGAUCUUAAACUUCAUGAUAUUGAAGGUGACACAUGAACUUUGAGCGGGGACAGAGCCCUCCUGGUGUUGCUGUCCCACUUCCAGCACUCAGCCACAACAUUUCCGCAGCUCUGGUGGAAAUACGCAGGGACGGGACUGUAGCUUAAGAAAAACCACACAAUCCAUCCUGCUGUGCUGGAAGUACAUUCUUCCCAGUGGAUUUUCCCCUGAAUCACGGGUGAACCCCAGGGUUCCUUCCCACGUCUUCGUACAGGUCAUGCCCAUGUAACCCGGCAAUUACAAUUUCUUGUCACAUAAGAGGCAAGAGUGUGUCAGCACCAGGAUGGCAUUGCGGGAUUAAACGUCAGGUUCUACUGAUUCUGGGUGAUGCUCUGCUGACUCACCGCCAUCCCUCGGAUGCCCUAUUUGUGUCUGUGCUUCGGUAUCACAACGUACACCACGAAUCUAUAAAUACUUCUCUCCCAAGUUUUAUUUACCUUUCAGCUGCCGGAUGCCUUUGGAAAUAAGCGGUCAUGUGCAGGAGUAAAUCUGUUGUCAUAUUAAGGAGAGGUAAAAAUAAAGCAGCUCUAUGUGAUGCUCAGUCACGAGUCUACAGUUCACAAUGGGAGUCAACAGUGAGUGCAUGGCCUGGCUUAAACCCAAGGGUUUUUUUGCUACAGCUGAUAUUUCACCUAGGCAACACGAGCCCUUGCUGGCAUUUUCAAAGGUGCACAAGGGUGGGGACGGAAGCCUUGACGCAUCGCUGCAAUGGGAAGGGGGAAGCAGUCUGCAAUGUGGAAGGCAGCUCCCAGUUGCAAAGCUGGGCUUGGAGGUGAUGCUAAAGGCGAUAACGGUGGAAACACGAGGACACCAGCACGUUUUGUCAGCUUUACAUUUUAAUAUUAUGUCUUUGCUACUGGAUGCAGAAGCAGGAAAAUAACGGAUACAAACACUCGUGCGCAAGAGGGCAAAUCACGUUUCUGAUGUGCCAAUGCCACGUCACAGCGUCAGGAGAGGCAAUAUGUGCUGGAGGGAAGGGGCAGGAGCUGCCCCUGCUCAGGGCUGCGCCCUGCAGAGGU